GACGAACGCUGGCGGCGUGCCUAACACAUGCAAGUUGAGCGACGAACCAGGGCUUGCCCUGGGGCAAAGCAGCGAACGGGUGAGUAACACGUGGGUAACCUACCCCGAUAACCGGGACAACCCGAGGAAACUCGGGCUAAUACCGGAUGUGCUCACUGGACUUCGGUUCAGUGCGUAAAGGAAGCUUCGGCCUCCGUAUCGGGAGGGGCCCGCGGCCCAUUAGUUUGUUGGUGAGGUAACGGCGCACCAAGACCGCGAUGGGUAGCUGGUCUGAGAGGACGAUCAGCCACACUGGGACUGAGACACGGCCCAGACCCCUACGGGAGGCAGCAGUGGGGAAUCUUGCGCAAUGCGCGAAAGCGUGACGCAGCAACGCCGCGUGGGGGAAGAAGGCCUUCGGGUUGUAAACCCCUUUCAGGAGGGACGAAGGUUCGGCGGUGAAUAGCCGUCCGGACUGACGGUACCUCCACAAGAAGCCCCGGCUAACUACGUG
rnacentral:rRNA from 1 species